UACGGAGGGUGCGAGCGUUGUCCGGAAUCACUGGGCGUAAAGGGCGCGUAGGCGGAUUGUUAAGUUAGGGGUGAAAUCCCAGGGCUCAACCCUGGAACUGCCUUUAAUACUGGCAAUCUCGAGUCCGAGAGAGGUGAGUGGAAUUCCGAGUGUAGAGGUGAAAUUCGUAGAUAUUCGGAGGAACACCAGUGGCGAAGGCGGCUCACUGGCUCGGUACUGACGCUGAGGUGCGAAAGCGUGGGGAGCAAACAGG
rnacentral:rRNA from 1 species